rnacentral:rRNA from 1 species
GACGAACGCUGGCGGCGUGCCUAAUACAUGCAAGUCGAGCGGAUUUCACCUUCGGGUGAAGUUAGCGGCGGACGGGUGAGUAACACGUAGGCAACCUGCCUGUAAGAUCGGGAUAACUAUCGGAAACGAUAGCUAAGACCGGAUAAUUGAUUUGCUCGCAUGAGGGGAUCAUGAAACGCGGAGCAAUCUGCGGCUUACAGAUGGGCCUGCGGCGCAGUAGCUAGUAGGUGAGGUAACGGCUCACCUAGGCGACGAUGCGUAGCCGACCUGAGAGGGUGAGCGGCCACACUGGGACUGAGACACGGCCCAGACUCCUACGGGAGGCGGCAGUAGGGAAUCUUCCGCAAUGGACGCAAGUCUGACGGAGCAACGCCGCGUGAGUGAUGAAGGUUUUCGGAUCGUAAAGCUCUGUUGCCAGGGAAGAACGCUUGAGGGAGUAACUGCCCUUAAGGUGACGGUACAUGAGAAGAAAGCCCCGGCUAACUACGUGCCAGCCGCCGCGGUAA